UAACUAAUUUGCAAAUUUCAUAUUUUUGCAGAUGAUAAUGGAGUUUUGCCUGGUGCUUGUUAUGCUUAACAUAGCUGUGUUUUUUUAAUAAUUUUGUGCGUUUUGGCUAUUUUUUCCCCAACAAUAUGGAAGAUAAGUAUCCCUUUUUCUUCGUACUAAUAUCAGCUGCUUUCAGUUUUCCAAAAAUUUUUGUUUUAGGUCAAAGGAACAUGAUCAUGGGGGUGUUUAGCUCAAUAUUUAUGAGAUCGAGCUUUAUAAUUAAUUAUCAAACGUUGUUUUAUUUCUCUAAUGACUCGAGUUUUUGGUGGAGAUAGUUACACAUGGUAUAAAAUUUAGGGUUUAAGUCCCGCUUCUACUAAUUUUUAAAAUUAUUAUGGUAUAUGCAUGUUAUUACGGCUUGUUGAAAAUAUAAUUUAAUGAAAAAAUUUAUCUCAUCUAUAACAACACGUAUUUUUAAAUGAGAUAAUUUGAUUUAAGUCAUGAUAAUGCUAUGGAAGCUACUUGUGAACUCAUUUAUUUAUUUUGACGAACAUCUGUUCUUCUUUAUCACUAGCUUUUGCUCUCGAAGACAG
rnacentral:lncRNA from 1 species